AGCUACUAUGGUUUGCUAGAGUUACUGCAAACCUUUGAGAAGGAUCACCAGUUCCAAAAGGAGCCCGUGAAUGAGGUGGGUGGUUCUUCUUCUGAGCAUUGCCCCUUUAAGAAAGGAAAGAAGAAGAAAAAGAAGAAAGUGCCGCGUGUUGGGGCUCCAAAGUCCAGUCAAAGUAAGAGGUCAAAAGUUGAUAAGAGCCAGGU
rnacentral:lncRNA from 1 species